GUUGGGAAAGAGGAAGAGGAAGGUUCCCAUUGUGCUAAUGUUGCCAAAGGGAAGAAGGCAAGCAACAAGAAUCCAACAGGUAGAGUUGAUAAGGCGACAAGUUCCAAUACCCCAAAAGGUACAAAUCCCUAUGCUAAACCAACUCUUAUUAAACAUUAUAAAUGCAAUGAAGAGGGGCAUAGGUCACACGAAUGUACAAGGAGGAAAACUGUGAACUUUGUUGAAAAACAAAAAGAAAUUUGCUGCAAACCCAAAUAAGGCGA
rnacentral:misc_RNA from 1 species